GACGAACGCUGGCGGCACGCCUAACACAUGCAAGUCGAACGGACGAUGAGGAGCUUGCUCCUCAAAGUUAGUGGCGGACGGGUGAGUAACACGUGAGCAACCUGCCUUUGAGAGGGGGAUAGCUUCUGGAAACGGAUGGUAAUACCCCAUAACAUAUGUUUGCCGCAUGACAGACAUAUCAAAAGAAUUUCGCUCGAAGAUGGGCUCGCGUCUGAUUAGAUAGUUGGUGAGGUAAUGGCUCACCAAGUCAACGAUCAGUAGCCGGACUGAGAGGUUGAACGGCCACAUUGGGACUGAGACACGGCCCAGACUCC
rnacentral:rRNA from 1 species